UGGGGUAACCAUGCUUGGCUUAAGAAGGAUUCCUUCAAACACCACAUUGUUUUCAGCCAAGAAGUAGAAUACUUCUGCCCAGACCUUCUCUGCCACUUCAAGGGUCCUUUCUAUUGGGUGGUCUCCAUCAAGAAGAAUUUCAGGCUCCACGAUGGGCACAAGACCAUUGUCCUGCAAAUAAUGUCAUCGCAACCGAUCAAAACAUUAAUCAUAGUACCAUCUAAUAAACAAAAAGGUAUAGUCUUAUUAGGCCAUCUUUUUAUAUCUCAAGCCACUACCAACUAAUAUAGCUCCGUAUAAGUGAUCAUACCUGAGAGAUGGCAGCAUAUCGUACAAGUCCCCAUGCAGCUUCCUUAACUGCAAGAGCAGAGGGACCACAUGGAACACUAACAACUGUUCGCCUGCAUAAUAAUAAGAGCACACCUCAGUCAAGUGCUUUAUGUCCAGCAGAGUGGAUAAACUAACCAAAUCAUGUUGAUAUGCAAAAUUAAUACUCACCAUUUAGCAAAACGAGCACCUUGCUUGUAAUAUUCAGCAGAUCUUGAAGCCAAUCCAUCUAAUCCUUGGCACCAGGAUUCAUUGUUUGAUCCUGGUAGGGGAACCAAACCCUGAAACCAAAAACAAGAUACAUGAACAACCACACAGGGAUCUCACUCAAAGCACUAAAAUAAAUUUCUCAAGCAAUAUAACGCAUGCAUUCUAGUAUCAUCUACACCUUACCUUAUCAACUUUGAUUCCAGGCAUAAUGUUCUGCUCGCGUAAGACAUCCACAAACUUCUUCCCAUCAGUUGUCGACUGGUAAAGUGUUUCCUCAAACAGAAUUGAACCAGAGAUGUAUUCACCAAGUCCAGGAGUGGUCAACAAAAGUUGCCUGUACGCCUGACGGU
rnacentral:lncRNA from 1 species